GACGAAAAGGACUGGAACUUUGUCAUCUUAUUUCCAUCGUAUUUAUGUCACACAACUGAAUGAAGUCAACGAGCCCCCUGUACUUUUCAGUGCCUGAACAAGCAACAUAUCCAUCUUAGUCUCAUCCACUAUCGUCUCAAGCUCAGUCAGGCGGGCGGCAACAUGCUGGUGGCCUCGCCCAUGAUGGGCUCCUUCGGCUGCUGCGCGCUGGAGUACCACAGGAGCGGGCAUGCCACCGUGAAGUCUGACGUGUACAGCUUCUGGGUGGUGCUCGUGUAGUGCAGCUCAUCUCCGGGAGGAGGGCCGUCGACACAAGCAAGCCUGUGACCAAGCAGAACGUGGUCACCUAGGUAAGUGAACUACGCACUUCGAUCUGACCAAGCAGAACGUGGUCACCUAGGUAAGUGAACUACGCACUUCGAUCUUUUGGCAUGAUAUGAUGCGGUAGCAGUUACUGAAACUCUGACGAUUUUCAGUUUUCUGAUAUUUUCCAACUUUCUUUUCCGCCGACGAAGAACACUAUGAUGCCAGGACGCCACCAACCAAGGCUGCAGAUAUCAAUUCACCGGGAUCUCUCAACUGUGGAGACGUGAAAAAAGUAUGUGAAGAAAAUAUCCCCAGCGGAUAUCAUUCCCAGAAUAUGAACAGGUCAAAUGGCUCAGCAAACAAUUGAGCAAGCUUUGGCCCUUUGUUGAAAGAGGAUACUUCCAUGUUAAGAUACAGGCAGAUCUGACCAAUUUUCCAUUUUAAUUGGCCAUUUUCCUAUCAAGAACUGUCAUGAUUUGCAUCUGAUUACAGGCAACAACCAUGGUCAUCAGGGAUUCUGUGGAACCACUACUCGAUGAAUAUCGACCGCCAGGGAUAUCCUCACUGAAGUUCAGCAGACUCUCCCUUGGGACUGUUCCAUCAAAAAUAGAAGGUUGCUGAGACAAAAAUGGUGUCCAAUUCACAGUUAUGUGCUCUCGCAUCUUCUACAAAAACAAGUGCUGAUUUUUUUUCUUAAUGAAAGUAACUAUACAUAAAAUAUUUUACUAUAUGGAUGAUAUUUAUAAUUCUAGCUUAAUCAGACAAAGUAAAAACAUGGAUCAUCCAAAUAUUUUUUGCUAGACUCCAGUACAAUUAUGUCAUAAUUCUAGCUUAAGCUGCCCCUGGGCGACCUAGGGAUGGAGACCGCGCAGGAGGUAAACCUGCAGCUGCUGUCAUCGCUAGACAUGACCAUUUGUUUAUUGUGUUGGUUCAAGUGGGAAACAAAGUCGCUUCAGUGAAAAAAAUGGUGAAAGCUGCUUUUAGUGGAAAAAUGUUAAUAGCCAGUUGAUGAAUUUAUAUCCAGUUGGCACCUUUACCUUUUUAUUAUGUGUUACCCCUUCAAUUUGUUACCUGCCUCAGUUGAUUAUAGUCUGCGUCAAAGUUAUGUGUUAUAUUACUUGGCAUGUUGGAUUCGGAUUAUUCAUAUAUCUCUUAUUUAGUGAAUCCCUUAGAUCACUCUACACUCUACUCUUGAGAAGCUACAGGUCAUAGCAACAGUCGGCUGCUGCUCCUCUAUUCAGGAGCUAGACAGUAAGUCGCUGCAGCCUGCAGGUAAUUUACCUUUCAGGGAAACAGCCAUUUGCACUGAAAAAUUAUAUAUUGGUAACCAAACAGAGAUAAUUACUUGCAGUUACGUUUGUAGUCACAUGUAAGUGAGUAUGUAACUAAAUUUAGCUCUAUUCAUGUCUGAAUAUACCAGUUGGUAACAAUGUAUAGUCAAAUUAUUGUGCUAAUAUAUUGUCAACUA